CUACCCCUUCUGCGAAACACAAAAUAAUCGGACAUUUAAAACGUCACUCAUUUGGUGCGUUCGCCAGCCGGAUACAUUCACAAUUUCAAAUUCAUCUGAGAUUGCCGACGUGAAACUCUGCCACAAUGUCCGCCUGGAGAGCAGCUGGUCUGAACUACAUCAACUAUUCAAACAUUGCCGCACGCUUGCUGCGUAAGGCAUUGAAACCCGACCUGCGCGCCCAGGCUUCCCGUCGAGAUGAUUCCCACAUCAGGUUCACCAAAUGGAUCAAUGGAAAACCAGAAACUGAAAAAUAAAGUGAUAGAUUACUUUGAUGCACCAGGGUCAGGGUCAAAGAAGAGUGGGAAUUAGGUGGCCGAGAAGAUUUAAAUUCGGAUGGAAGCAAAAAUAUCUGAAUUAGUUCCAUAAUAUAAAAAUCACAACUGUCCAAGGAAUGUAAA